AUUGAACGCUAGCGGGAUGCCUUACACAUGCAAGUCGAACGGAGUGGCGAACGGUUGAGUAAUGUAUCGGAAAGUGCCCAGUAGCGGGGGAUAAAUACGCGAAAGCGUAGCUAAUACCGCAUUCUAUUGGAUAGGUGGAUAUCGGAUUAGCUAGUUGGGGGGGUAAAGGCUCCCCAAGGCGACGAUCCGUAGCUGGUUUGAGCGGACGACCAGCCAAACUGGGACUGAGACACGGGCCAGACUCCUACGGGAGGCAUCAGUGGGGAAUUUUGGAAAAUGGGGGAGACCCUGAUCCAGCCAUCCCGCGUGUGCGAUGAAGGCCUUCGGGUUGUAAAGCACUUUUGGCAGGAAAGCGGUACCUGCAGAAUAAGCACCGGCUAACUACGUGCCAGCAGCCGCGGUAAUAC
rnacentral:rRNA from 1 species